AGUAACUGCGAGUGAAGCGGCAAAAGCUCAAAUUUGAAAUCUGGCGUCUUAGGCGUCCGAAUUGUAAUUUGGAGAGGCAACUUCGGAGAUGGCGCCGUCCUAAGUUCCUUGGAACAGGAUGACGUAGAGGGUGAGAUCCCCGUACCUGGAUGGCUGUCCAUCUCCAUGUGAACUGCCUUCGACGAGUCGAGUUGUUUGGGAAUGCAGCUCAAAAUGGGUGGUAAAUUUCAUCUAAAGCUAAAUAUAGGCGAGAGACCGAUAGCGCACAAGUAGAGUGAUCGAAAGAUGAAAAGCACUUUGAAAAGAGAGUUAAAAAGUACGUGAAAUUGUUGAAAGGGAAGCGCUUGAGACCAGACUCGAUCUGUGGUGAUCAGCUGUGCUUCUGUACGGUGCACUUGCCCCAGGUUGGGCCAGCAUCGGUUCUGAUGGAGGGAUAAAAGGAUGAGGAAUGUGGCUUCCUUCGGGUAGUGUUAUAGCCUCACUCACAAUGCCUCCAGUUGGGACCGAGGACCGCGCUUCGGCUAGGAUGCUGGCGUAAUGGUCUUAAGCGACCCGUCUUGAAACACGGACCAAGGAGUCUAACAUCUAUGCGAGUGUUCGGGUGGAAAACCCUUGCGCGUAAUGAAAGUGAACGGAGGUGGGAACCCGUGAGGGGGCACCAUCGACCGAUCCCGAUGUCUUCGGAAGGAUUUGAGUAAGAGCAUAGCUGUUGGGACCCGAAAGAUGGUGAACUAUGCCUGAAUAGGGUGAAGCCAGAGGAAACUCUGGUGGAGGCUCGCAGCGGUUCUGACGUGCAAAUCGAUCGUCAAAUUUGGGUAUAGG
rnacentral:rRNA from 1 species